rnacentral:sRNA from 1 species
UGGAAUCAUUAAUUUCUCGGUGCUCAU